AUUCUUAAGUGUAACCAACUCACACAUACCUUCAUUUUCAUUACACUCCUAACUAUAAAUGCAUCAGAUUUACAUAAAUGCAUAUCAUAUGAUCAAGUGCAACGUAAUCACACUAUCAUUAAAACCCUAUCAUCUUUGUCUUCAAACCUCUUCGCAUUCUCAUGUACAAUGUAAAUAUAUACAUUUCCUAUUGUAUAACCCAAAUAUAUAAAAUGUGAAUUAAAUGUGUAAUUAAAUGUUGAUUUCAUUCAUUUUUUCAAGUAUUGCUUUGAAUUAGGAAUGGUGUAUUGUUAUGAACGGGAUCUUCAUGAGGGUGAACUUCAUUUUGAAUUAUAUGCUAUGGGAGGGCAAUUCAGUUAUGGAUGGGCUUGUGUAGAGAAGAAGUUCAAGCAACAACAACUCCUUCAUUAUAUGCCGCGGGAGGGUAAUUCAGUUGUGCCAAGGAUCAUUGUUUAAGUCGAAGGAUGCUUAGAUUUUGACAUGUUUGAAGAACUCAGAAUGGCUAUAUUUAUUUUUUUUGUUUAUAACAAAUGUACAUUUUGUAUUAUAUACGUGCAUUAUAUGAUACGCGAGAAAGGUGAACCCCAUUACUUUUUUUGUGAGGCCUGCUUGAAUUGAUGUACAUUUUGUGUUGUUUAAGUGCAUUAGCAGAUAAAUGAGACAU